UUGUAAGUCUUCGCGUAGCUCGAUAACACAUGCUCACGCUGUGCGNCCCCGUCAUCUUUGAGUUUCAGCUGCNCGUACUCCCCANCGAAUGCUUAAUGCGUAGCUGCAGCACUGAAGGGCGGAAACCCUCCAACACUAGCAUCAUCGUUACGGUAUGGACUACCAGAGUAUCUAAUCUGUUUGCUACCCAUACUUUCGAGCUCAGCGUCAGUUACAGACCAGACAGCCGCUUCGCCACUGGUGUUCUUCCAUAUAUCUACGCAUUUCACCGCUACACAUGGAGUUCCACUGUCCUCUUCUGCACUCAAGUUUCCCAGUUUCCGAUGCACUUCUUCGGUUGAGCCGAAGGCUUUCACAUCAGACUUAAAAAACCGCCUGCGCUCGCUUUACGCCCAAUAAAUCCGGACAACGCUUGCCACCUACGUAUUACCGCGGCUGCUGGCACGUAGUUAGCCGUGGCUUUCUGGUUAAAUACCGUCAAUACCUGAACAGUUACUCUCAGAUAUGUUCUUCUUUAACAACAGAGUUUUACGAGCCGAAACCCUUCUUCACUCACGCGGCGUUGCUCCAUCAGACUUUCGUCCAUUGUGGAAGAUUCCCUACUGCUGCCUCCCGUAGGAGUUUGGGCCGUGUCUCAGUCCCAAUGUGGCCGAUUACCCUCUCAGGUCGGCUACGUAUCAUUGCCAUGGUGAGCCGUUACCUCACCAUCUAGCUAAUACGCCGCGGGACCAUCCAAAAGUGAUAGCCGAAGCCAUCUUUCAAACUCGGACCAUGCGGUCCAAGUUGUUAUGCGGUAUUAGCAUCUGUUUCCAGGUGUUAUCCCCCGCUUCUGGGCAGGUUUCCCACGUGUUACUCACCAGUUCGCCACUCACUCAAAUUUAAUUCAUGAUGCAAGCACCAAUCAUUACCAGAGUUCGUUCGACUUGCAUUAUAGGCA
rnacentral:rRNA from 1 species